rnacentral:rRNA from 1 species
GUGUCAGCAGCCGCGGUAAUACGUAGGUGGCGAGCGUUACUCGGAAUCACUGGGCAUAAAGGGCGUGUAGGCGGGUCCGCAAGUCCGUUGUGAAAGCCCCCGGCUCAACCGGGGAAGGCCGACGGAAACUGCGGGUCUAGAGUGCGGGAGGGGAGAGUGGAACUCUUGGUGGAGCGGUGAUAUGCGUAGAUAUCAAGAGGAACGCCGGUGGCGAAAGCGACUCUCUGGUCCGCAACUGACGCUGAGGCGCGAAAGCCAGGGGAGCAAACGGGAUUAGAUACCCCGGUAGUCCUGGCCCUAAACGAUGGGUACUAGGUAGAGGUGGCUCCGAUGCCGUCUCUGCCGCAGCAAAUGUGCUAAGUACCCCGCCUGGGGAGUACGGUCGCAAGGCUGAAACUUAAAUGAAUUGACGGGG